rnacentral:rRNA from 1 species
UACGUAGGGUGCAAGCGUUGUCCGGAAUUAUUGGGCGUAAAGCGCGUGUAGGCGGCUUUGCAAGUCGGGUGUGAAAUCCCUCAGCUUAACUGAGGAAGUGCGCCCGAAACUGCAUGGCUUGAAUACCGGAGAGGAUGGCGGAAUUCCCCAAGUAGAGGUGAAAUUCGUAGAUAUGGGGAGGAACACCGGUGGCGAAGGCGGCCAUCUGGACGGCUAUUGACGCUGAGACGCGAAAGCAUGGGGAGCAAACAGG